rnacentral:lncRNA from 1 species
UUUUUAAAUACAUGUCAAACACUAAUUAAUAAUUGAUAAGCUUUAUUGGCGAAUCAUGUCAACCAUAAUAUGUCACAUGAAGAGGCUUUAUACCUGAUAAAAACUCAUCUUCAUUAGUAUGUUCUUUAUAUUAAAGUCCGUCCUAAUUUGAUAAAACACUCCUAUGCGUGUUUUAAAUAGUACUUAUUAGACCUAACCAGGAACAGCUGCGAAAAAUACAACUAUUCAAUUGAGCGAGAUGUCAACAAAAUCUUGAUAUUCACCAUAAGUUAUGCGCGCAUAAGCUAACGUGGUACCCUUGCGGUUAGAGCUGGACAUCGUACUGGCCUCUGUAGCUCAGUUGGGUUAGAGCACUGCACCGGAAUGAUCGCAGGGCCGCAGGUUCGAUUCCUGCCAGGGACCAGGCAGCUGUUCCUGGUUAGGUCUAAUAAAUGUGUAAGAAUUUCCACGGCGACAAUUUCAUCCCCAAUACCCAUGAAAUAUUUAACAAAUAUAAAACAUUUUCCGUGUUGAUAUACAGUUAUAUCAACACGAGUGGAAAUUGGGAAAACGAGAAAUUGUGUGGAAACACGACGCCCGAAGG